CAGUCGCCGCGGUAAUACAGAGGGUGCAAGCGUUAAUCGGAAUUAUUGGGCGUAAAGGGUGCGUAGGUGGUCAUUUAAGUCAGAUGUGAAAUCCCAGGGCUUAACCUUGGAAUUGCAUUUGAUACUGGGAAGCUAGAGUAUGGGAGAGGAUGGUAGAAUUCCAGGUGUAGCGGUGAAAUGCGUAGAGAUCUGGAGGAAUACCGAUGGCGAAGGCAGCCAUCUGGCCUAAUACUGACGCUGAGGUACGAAAGCAUGGGGAGCAAACAGGAUUAGAUACCCCAGUAGUCCCUGUCUUUAUACA
rnacentral:rRNA from 1 species